GUUGAAUGACUAUAAUUGCAUUAGAAUUUUGUAUGAUGAUCAUACUUGACAAUGUGACAGACAUGUGUUCAGUAGUUUUGACAGACUUUGAAACAUCUGCAUUGAGCUAUAUUCAUGUUCCAGUUUAGCAGAUUUCCUUCUGGAACUCUUAUUUGUUGAGUCAGAGAAUAUUUUACUCUUUACUCUUUUUGGAUUAUGAUUGUGUUAAAUUGACAUGAUCUGAUCAGAAUCCCUCAAGGAUUAUAAUUUUCCAGGCUACAUUGCACAAAUAAAAGCAGUCAGGGAGGGAAACCUCUAAAUGGAGUCCCUUGGAGAGGGAGGUGCAGAGAAAAAAAAAAAACAGCUGCUUUUUUGCUUAGACCCUGAUAAACCCAAAAAGACCUUAAACAGGUGAAUAUUUGUUUCUGGUAAUUUAUGAGGAUUUUGACCUGUUGUAGAUCUUAACUGUGACAACAAAGAAUAUUUGUGUUUAACCGCUUUAAAGUCUAAACCGAGCAAGCUAAAAGCCCCCUAUUGACAUUCACGUCCAAGUACAAUAGUUGGCGUCCAUCAGUAAAAAGAGAUCCGGUCUCCAGAUGGUUUUGUUCGGAUCUGUAAGUGACACAGGACAAAUGCUGCUCUUGUUAAAGGAAUGUUGAGCCCAGCUUUUAACUUAAAGAAAAGCCAAUGCCACAGGGACCUCCUGGUGGAAUUUUUGGCAUCUUGGGAGUUGUGGUAGUGGCCGGUCUGAUUGUAGGAGUGGUGGCUACGAUAUGUAUGGUGUACAGGAGAGGACAGAAGCCCCGCACAGAAACAGACAACGAUCUGACUGACCUCCCCCCUGCUCAUAAGCCGGCCCCUCCGCCACCCAAGAAAAAGAGCAGCGACAUGAAAGGCGGCCUGACGUCUGACGAGAUCCAGGUUGUUCAUCUGGACAAGGAGGAUGAGAUACAGAAGAUUCCUCUCCAGCCCCCAUACUAUGACAUGGCACAGUCUGAGUCCACUGCAUUCACCGAUAAGCCGAACUCUGGGAACGAAGAGCUACCGAACCCAGCUGGCUAUGUGAGCUGCCAUCAUCCAGGCAACCACGAACAAUUUAUUGAACCUCCACCUCCUUCUGCCUACCCCCCUGUUACCUUCCUGCCCCAGAAACCUUACAGCCAGCACCCUACUAAUACCCCCAUGUACACCUUCCAUCCCAACGCGGCCCCACCCGCCCCCCGACCCCCAUUUAACUACCCCAAAGAGCAAUCCGUCUAGACCCAUGGCUGUCCGAGCGGGAAGACGCCCCAUCUCCUCAUACAGGAUAGCCAUUACGCAUCACACCUGGAGAGAACAACACUUCCUUUCUCAUUACUGUUGUCCUGCGCUGGCCACAUCAGGAUGCGGGCGUUCUCCCGGAACAAUGAAUAAAAGUGUCAGUAGUUUGUGGACCUGAAACCGUGUGUUGUGCACUGCAUGUUUCACUAUGAGGCUGUGGUUAGGACCCCUAGUCUUGUGCUGUAAAUAUAGAAACACCGCACCACAACUCUACACCCUCCCUCCCCUCACAACAGCACACCUCACUUCUCCUGAACACAGGGUAUCAGCCUUCGCUCUGCCUAAACCUCUCUUAGAUCUUCCCCUCCUUUAUUUUAAUUCUGCCAAAUGUCUGACCAUUGACAGUGUUUCAAGAAAUUGUCACCCAAAAGGGAACAUUCGGUCAUUAUUUAUGCACUCUCAUGUGAUUUCAAAGCGUAUGCUGAUAUUUUAUUUCUAGAGCAUAGAAGAUGAUUUUUUAAAUAACCUUCUCGCAGCUCUUUUCCGAGAAAUGGUUCAAGGUAAUUAUGUCUGUCAGAUUCCAAAAAGGACACUUUAAUAAAUAAAGUUUCUUUAUUGGCAUCAGUUGUUACAUGAUGAAUAUUUAACAUCUAUAGAACCUUUCCAUUCCACAAAAGCUUUUUAAGUGAAAAGAGGUUCUUUCGAUUUUUAAAUGUUCGUCAAACUAAGUAAAAGUGGCUCUCUUAAGGAAUGUUCACUGAAAAGUUCUUUGGGAACCAAAAACGAUUAUUCUGUAGCAUUGCUGUGAAAACCGAUUUUGCGGUGUAUGGAAAAUAACCGCUUGAAUGAUAUUUAAGAGUUCUUUUUUUGUGUGUUCCUGUUAAAAAAUAACCUCAUACAGAUUUGCAAUUGCAUGAGGCCGAGUAGGUAAUGACAGAACUGUUUCUUUGUCAUUGUGUCACCAUUUUGCUUUCUUUUUUCUUUUUUUUUCUCUUUCAGUGAGUUUUGUUUUAUCGAUUGUUACACAUUUGUGUAUUGCUCUUUUAUUCUUCAGAUUAUAUUUGCUUGCUUCUUGUUGUACAUGUUUGAGUUAAGUGACUGUUAAAAUGUAACAUUUUAUUUGUCUAUUGACAUUUUGUCAAAAUUACGACAUGGCACAACAUCCCAACAGUGAUUCUGCUGAAACAGCAUUAUAUGGGUAAAUUGGCAGUGCCCGUUUUUCUCAAAGGUAUCCAAAUAGUACCAACUAUCAAUAAAAUAUUUAGUCAUUAUAAUCUAAAAUGUGAAUGUUCCCUCUGCUCUACAUGAGAAAAAAUUAAAGGGCUCUAUUUCACUUCCUCUCAUAAGAUAUCAUCCUGUGUCACAAGUGAAACACUUCAUUUUUGAUGGCAUAAACACUUUCAUCUCGUUUUGCUUGUAGUUACCAAAGAAAUAGAGCAUUCCAUAUUUGUUUCCACACAAAUGUUUACAUUUGGUAUUAUCAAAGAUUUAGUGAGAUAAGCUGAUACUUUUCAUCAGGAAACUCAUUCAUGUUUCAAGCGAUCCAGAUAAUCGUAACUCUCAUGUAUCAAUUUAUUUAUUUGAAAUCUUGUUAAAAGAUAAUGUUUUAUUUCCGUUGCUGCUGUAUUCAUAAGUGUAGGUUGUCCUUGAAAAUGCAUGUGUUUCUAUACAGUUUCAUUGUCAUCAUCUCUUUUUGUUAAACCUACUAUUAAUGUUCCAUUUUGUUUCACUGGUUGACAUACACAAAACCUUUUCAGGGACAAUCCACAACUUUUUUCCUCAUUAAGCUAUUUUUGAAAGAAAAGCAUAUGUUGAUGUAUUUUUUUAGAGAAUGAUCCUCAGAAUGCGCUUACCGUCUAAAACAUAUUUAAUGUCCUAUUCAGUCCUGAACCCUUACAAAGAGCCAAUACAAAUCACUGCUGCCCUCUUUACAACCUCAACCAGACCUCUUCAAAGAAUGAGAUCAUCUAACAAGAAUGACGCUCAUGUUGUUAAGCCAUGUCAAAUGUACAUGCUGAAAAAGAAAAAAAAAAAAUGUGCUCAAUGUUUGUGGUCAAUGUGAAAGUUACAAGUAAUAAAAGACGAACCCUUAGAGUUGUUCAGGACUGGUUAAAAAAAAAAAAAAAUUAUUUUUGCAGUGGUUUAUGGGAUAGGUUACAAUAUGUGAAGCUACCUACUCUGCACACCUUUAUGUCUGGCAUUGAUUUGUAUGUGUGUACUAGUGUAGCAUUAGACUCAUCUGUGGUUCCUGGGUCACAUUGCUGGAUAGAAAUACCUGUCCCCAUGUCACAUAUUUUGGAUUAUUGCUGCCACAUGUAUUAUUAUUAUUAUUAUUAUUAUUAUUAUUAUUCAACACUGAACAAUGCAUCCUUUGCCCCUGGUUGAUUUUCUUUGUUGUCCUACUGCCUCGGAUAAUUUGAAAUUGCAAAGUUUUUCUUUUCUUCUGAAAUUGCAAUAUUAUUUUACUUCAUUUCUAUGUUUGCAGUCCUGCUGAGUUUGUUUUUUACACGUGAGCUGUAGGUUUUUGUUAAUAUUUUCUAACACAUACGAUGUAUACAUUAUAUCUUCAUGUUUGUAAAGGAAAAUCAUUGCCCGAGUCAUUGUGAACACAUGAACUCAAUCAAUGUAUGUCACUGCAAGUUAUUCUUCCAUAUGUGAAGUAUUAUGACUUUUUUGUCUUUUUUUUUUUUUUUACAUGGGGAUUAUGUUUGGUGUAAAAAUUAACUUCAUGUACCAGAUGUGUGAAACAAAACUCAUGCAGAUGAAAAUUAAACUUCAC
ensembl:lncRNA